UAUGUAUGCAUGUAAUUAUUUAUUUAUUUAGAAAAUGAGCAAAACAUGGGUUCUGGUGGAAUGGAGGGAGGAGCCUCCCACCUAUGAUAUUGUCCCUAAAAAGGACAUACUAAAAAAAAAGUUUGAACCUGGAGAUGUUGUGGAUGUGGCUUAUGAAGAGGAAAGUUCCCCAGCCACAGUUAUAGAUAUUGAUGAGAGCAAAGAUACCCUCAGGAGGAGGAUGUUUAGGCUAGAGGGGAAAAGAAAAAAUCAGCCAUGUUUGCAAAAUGAUGCAAAAAGAGUAGCAAAGAAAAAAAAACGUACACUCCAACUCAGUCCCCAUCUCACUCCAAAACGUCCUCAUCAUCUGAUCAAGAGCCUCCAGUCAAACAUCAAGUCAUCCACCGAAAGGACAGUAUGUUAAUGCAAGAGAUUAACAGCAUGGAGAGUCAAGCUGGAGAGCAUUCAAGCCGAGAAACUCAACUUGAGAGAGAAAUUCUCAAAUUAAAAAAAGAAAAUGAGAAUCUAAGAGCACUUAAUAUAGCUCUGCAACAAGAAAUUCUUCCAAUGCUCAAGUGCAGCAUGAACCAGGACACUCUUGUUGCUCAACAACCACAAGUUGCUCAACAACCACAAGAUUCAAGUCAGAAGAAUCCCCCUGAAAAGGUGAA